rnacentral:tRNA from 1 species
AAAAAUUUAGUUAAAUAAUAACAUUAACUUGUCAAGUUAAAAUUACUAUCUAAUUAGUCGUUUUUG